GCAUAUCAAUAAGCGGAGGAAAAGAAACCAACAGGGAUUGCCCUAGUAACGGCGAGUGAAGCGGCAACAGCUCAAAUUUGAAAUCUGGCUUUCGGGCCCGAGUUGUAAUUUGUAGAGGAUGAUUUUGAUGCGGUGCCUUCCGAGUUCCCUGGAACGGGACGCCAUAGAGGGUGAGAGCCCCGUCUGGUUGGAUGCCAAAUCUCUGUAAAUCUCCUUCGACGAGUCGAGUAGUUUGGGAAUGCUGCUCUAAAUGGGAGGUAUAUGUCUUCUAAAGCUAAAUACCGGCCAGAGACCGAUAGCGCACAAGUAGAGUGAUCGAAAGAUGAAAAGCACUUUGAAAAGAGAGUUAAAAAGUACGUGAAAUUGUUGAAAGGGAAGCGUUUAUGACCAGACUUGGGCUUGGUUAAUCAUCUGGGGUUCUCUCCAGUGCACUUUUCCAGUCCAGGCCAGCAUCAGUUUUCGCCGGGGGAUAAAGGCUUCGGGAAUGUGGCUCCCCUCGGGGAGUGUUAUAGCCCGUUGUGUAAUACCCUGGUGGGGACUGAGGUUCGCGCUUCUGCAAGGAUGCUGGCGUAAUGGUCAUCAACGACCCGUCUUGAAACACGGACCAAGGAGUCGUCUUCGUAUGCGAGUGUUCGGGUGUCAAACCCCUACGCGUAAUGAAAGUGAACGCAGGUGAGAGCUUCGGCGCAUCAUCGACCGAUCCUGAUGUUCUCGGAUGGAUUUGAGUAAGAGCAUACGGGGCCGGACCCGAAAGAAGGUGAACUAUGCCUGUGUAGGGUGAAGCCAGAGGAAACUCUGGUGGAGGCUCGCAGCGGUUCUGACGUGCAAAUCGAUCGUCAAACAUGGGCAUGGGGGCGAAAGACUAAUCGAACCUUCUAGUAGCUGGUUUCCGA
rnacentral:rRNA from 1 species